AGGAGAAGGAUCCGAGGUGUAAUAUUUAGGGGUUGCAGAUGCAGUUGUGGGUCGUCUUUGUGAAGGUCGUUUGCUGAUGACGGUGAAACUGAACGAAUGGUCGAGGCGAAUCCGGGAAUCCUAUGAAGCUCCGAAGUUGUCACGGGCGAGGUUAGCUGUCGCAGUGGCUGGCGUCUGGGAGCAUUUCGUCCUUGUUCAUCGUACAGGUGUGUCUGUGCUGCUGGACAUCCAAAAUCCUGCAAGAGAAGAAAAAGUCAACAAAUGCCUCAGAAGGAGACCAAAGUGGAGAGGAUUAGGAAAGUAAUAAGGUGAAAGUUAUUUAAAAAUAAGGAAACAAACAAAGGUCCCUUGGUGAUUUCUGUUAGAGGAAAGUUAAGUCCUGUGUGAUGUAGUCAUGUCAGUUGCUCAAGGUUGGACUCGCAUUUGUUGAUGAGGAAUUUUGGGUGUCGUAACAGAACUUGAGAGAAUAAGGUGAUAAAGAGUACAAAUGUUACAACUAGUAAUGCACAAGGAAGCUUCAGGAGGAGGCAGCACUGUGUGUGUAGAUUAGGUCUUUGCUGUAACAGCAGAGAUUGUAAAAAUGAUUUGGCAAAAGCUAGCUGUAACAGCAGAGAUUGUAAAAAAAAUGAUUUGGCAAAAGCUAGAAGUGUUUUUGGGUUUGCAACUACGGUACAACAACAAAUAACUAGUUACAACUAAAAAGUUCAGGCUUCUCAUCUCAAGCUUAGUUAACUAACAUCACUGCUACUUGAUCAAUUAGGCACAUUUCUCUGCCAAAUGAAAAUAAAUUUUACGGAGUAUAAAACAACAGAGUAACCUAAUAAUAUACAUACCACAUAUGAGGCGUUCAGAAUAGUAGCGACAAGCUUAAAAAAAAAAAAAAAAAAAAAAACGCAGUUAAAGUUUUGCAAUAUUCAGAAUGCAAUAACACUGAGAUGAGGUAGAAAGCUCUAGUUUUUUGCUCUAUAACAGGGCUUGACAACCAUUGUAAGCAAAAUGUAAUUAGGUUCUGAAGUUGCUCAUUAACUUUGGGUGGAGGUGGGAAGACUGAAGGUAAGGGCAGAGUGAGGGGAGUGAUAAUGUGUGGCUAUCAUUGGCUGUCAUGUCAUGUCAUCACAUCCAUGCCUCCCCAUUGGUCGCUAAGCGGCCUGGGUGGAGAUAUGCUGGUGUAAAAUUCACUGUGCCGUCACUUUUAAUGUGAUUCUGAUAUGGUUGAUUAAAGCCUUCACUACAA